UUUUCUCCAUACUUCCAAAAACUCUUCAUGCAUCUCUAGCACCUAUAAUCAAUCAAAUUGAUUGUAUUCUAACAUAUUCUAAUCCCAAAUAACACUAGAUAAGUCAUUUAGUUUUUCAACGCAAUGUUUCCGAGUUCUUAGCCCAUUUGAGACCCAAUUUUAACAAGUCUUUCUACACACUUCUAAAACCUCUUCAUGCAUCUCUAGCACUUGUAAUCAAUCAAAUUUAUUGUAUUCUAACACAUUCUAAACCCAAACAACACUAGAUAAGACAUUUAACGGUUCAACAUAAUGUUUUCGAGUUCUUAGCCCAUUUGGGACCCAAUUUCAACAAAUCUUUCUCCACAUUUCGAAACAUUCUUCAUGCAUCUCUAGCACUUGUAAUCAAUCACAUUCAUUGUAUUCUAACAUAUUCUAACCCCAAACAACACUAGAUAAGUUAUUUAGUGGUUCAAUGCAAUGUUUCCGAGUUCUUAGCCCCUUUGGGACCCAAUUUCAACAAGUUGUUCUACACACUUCUAAACACUCUUCAUGCAUCUCUAGCACUUGUAAUCAAUCAAAGUUAUUGUAUUCUAACAUAUUUUAACCCCAAAUAACACUAGAUAAGUCAUUUAGUUUUUCAACGCAAUGUUUCCGAGUUCUUAGCCCAUUUGGGAACCAAUUUCAAUAAGUCUUUCUACACACUUCUAAAUACUCUUCAUGCAUCUCUAGCACUUGUAAUCAAUUAAAUUCAUUUUAUUCUAACAUAUUCUAAUCCCAAACAACACUAGAUAAGUCAUUUAGUUUAUCAACGCAAUGUUUCCGAGUUCUUAGCCCAUAUGGGAGCCAAUUUCAACAAGUCUUUCUCCAUACUUCCAAACACUCUUCAUGCAUCUCUAGCACCUAUAAUCAAUCAAAAUUAUUGUAUUCUAACGUAUUCUAAACCCAAACAACACUAGAUAAGCUAUUUAGUGGUUCAACGCAAUGUUUCCGAGUUCUUAGCCCCUUUGGUACCCAAUUUCAACAAGUUUUUCUACACACUUCUAAACACUCUUCAUGCAUAUCUAGCACUUGUAAUCAAUCUAAGUUAUUUUAUUCUAACAUAUUCUAACCCCAAAUAACAAUAGAUAAGUCAUUUACAUUUUCAACGCAAUGUUUCCGAGUUCUUAGCCCAUUUGGGACCCAAUUUAAACAAGUCUUUCAACACACUACUAAACACUCUUCAUGCAUCUAUAGCACUUGUAAUCAAUCAAAUUGAUUGUAUUAUAACAUUUUCUAAUCCCAAAUAACACUAGAUAAGUAAUUUAGUUUUUCUACGCAAUGUUUCUGAGUUCUUAGCCCAUUUGAGACCAAAUUUCAACAAGUCUUUCUACACACUUCUAAACACUCUUCAUGCAUCUCUAGCACUUGUAAUCAAUUAAAUUCAUUGUAUUUUAACAUAUUCUAAUCCCAAACAACACUAGAUAAGUCAUUUAGUUUAUCAACGCAAUGUUUCCGAGUUCUUAGCCCAUUAGGGACCCAAUUUCAACAAGUUUUUCUACACACUUCUAAACACUCUUCAUGCAUCUAUAGCACUUGUAAUCAAUCAAAAUUAUUGUAUUCUAACGUAUUUUAAACCCAAACAACACUAGAUAAGUUAUUUAGUGGUUCAACGCAAUGUUUACGAGUUCUUAGCCCAUAUGGGACCCAAUUUCAACAAGUUUUUCUACACACUUCUAAACACUCUUCAUGCAUCUCUAGCACUUGUAAUCAAUCAAAGUUAUUGUAUUCUAACAUAUUCUAAUCCCAAAAAAUACUAGAUAAGACAUUUAGUUUAUCAACGCAAUGUUUCCGAGUUCUUAGCCCAUAUGGGACCCAAUUUCAACAAGUCUUUCUCCAUACUUCCAAACACUCUUCAUGCAUCUAUAGAACGUGUAAUCAAUCAAAUUGAUUAAUUCUAACAUAUUCUAACCCCAAACAACAUUAGAUAAGUCAUUUAGUGGUUCAACGCAAUGUUUCCGAGUUCUUAGCCCAUCUAGGAACCAAUUUCAACAAGUCUUUCAACACACUUCUAAACACUCUUCAUGCAUCUCUAGCACUUGUAAUCAAUCAAAUUUAUUGUAUUCUAACACAUUCUAAACCCAAACAACACUAGAUAAGACAUUUAGCGGUUCAACAUAAUCUUUUAGAGUUCUUAGCCCAUUUGGAACCCAAUUUCAACAAAUCUUUCUCCACACUUCGAUACACUCUUCAUGCAUCUCUAGCACAUGUAAUCAAUCAAAUAUAUUGUAUUGUAACAUAUUCUAAACCCAAAUAACACUAUAUAAGUAAUUUAGUGGUUAAACGCAAUGUUUUCGAGUUCUUAGCCCAUUUGGGACGCAAUUUCAACAAGUCUUUCUCCUUACUUCAAAACACUCUUCAUGCAUCUCUAACACUUGUAAUCAAUCACAUUCAUUAUAUUCUAAUAUAUUCUAACCCCAAACAACACUAGGUAAGUCAUUUAGUUUUUCAACGCAAUGUUUUCGAGUUCUCAGCCCAUUUGGGACCCAAUUUCAACAAGUCUUUCUACACACUUCCAAAUACUCUUCAUGCAUCUCUAGCACUUGUAAUCAAUUAAAUUCAUUUUAUUCUAACAUAUUCUAAUCCAUAACAACACUAGAUAAGUCAUUUAGUUUAUCAACGCAAUGUUUCCGAGUUCUUAGCCCAUAUGGGAGCCAAUUUCAACAAGUCUUUCUCCAUACUUCCAAAAACUCUUCAUGCAUCUCUAGCACCUGUAAUCAAUCAAAUUAAUUGUAUUCUAACAUAUUCUAAACCUAAACAACACUAGAUAAGUCAUUUAGUGGUUCAACGCAAUGUUUCCGAGUUCUUAGCCCAUUUGGGACCCAAUUUCAACAAGGUUUUCUACACACUUCUAAACACUCUUCAUGCAUCUCUAGCACUUGUAAUCAAUGNNNNNNNNNNNNNNNNNNNNNNNNNNNNNNNNNNNNNNNNNNNNNNNNNNNNNNNNNNNNNNNNNNNNNNNNNNNNNNNNNNNNNNNNNNNNNNNNNNNNAUUGUAUUCUAACAUAUUCUAAUCGCAAAAAAACACUAGAUAAGUCAUUUAGUUUAUCAAUGUAAUGUUUCCGAGUUCUUAGCCCAUAUGGGACCCAAUUUCAACAAGUCUUUCUCCACACUUCCAAACACUUUUCAUGCAUCUAUAGCACUUGUAAUCAAUAAAAUUGAUUGUAUUCUAACAUAUUCUAACCCAAAGCAACAUUAGAUAAGUCAUUUAGUGGUUCAACGCAAUGUUUCCGAGUUCUUAGCCCCUUUGGGACCCAAUUUCAACAAGUUGUUCUACACACUUCUAAACACUCUUCAUGCAUCUCUAGCACUUGUAAUCAAUCAAAUUUAUUGUAUUCUAACAUAUUCUAACCCCAAAUAACACUAGAUAAGUCAUUUAAUUUUUCAACGCAAUGUUUCCGAGUUCUUAGCCCCUUUGGUACCCAAUUUCAACAAGUUUUUCUACACACUUCUAAACAAUCUUCAUGCAUCUCUAGCACUUGUAAUCNNNNNNNNNNNNNNNNNNNNNNNNNNNNNNNNNNNNNNNNNNNNNNNNNNNNNNNNNNNNNNNNNNNNNNNNNNNNNNNNNNNNNNNNNNNNNNNNNNNNUUCUAACAUAUUCUAACCCCAAAUAAUACUAGAUAAGUCAUUUAGUUUUUCAACGCAAUGUUUCCGAGUUCUUAGCCCAUUUGGGACCCAAUUUCAACAAGGUUUUCUACACACUUCUAAACACUCUUCAUGCAUCUCUAGCACUUGUAAUCAAUCAAAGUUAUUGUAUUCUAACAUAUUCUAAUCCCAAAAAAUACUAGAUAAGACAUUUAGUUUAUCAACGCAAUGUUUCCGAGUUCUUAGCCCAUAUGGGACCCAAUUUCAACAAGUCUUUCUCCACACUUCCAAACACUUUUCAUGCAUCUAUAGCACUUGUAAUCAAUCAAAUUGAUUGUAUUCUAACAUAUUCUAACCCCAAACAACAUUAGAUAAGUCAUUUAGUGGUUCAACCCAAUGUUUCCGAGUUCUUAACCCCUUUGGGACCCAAUUUCAACAAGUUGUUCUACACACUUCUAAACACUCUUCAUGCAUCUCUAGCACUUGUAAUCAAUGACAUUCAUUGUAUUCUAACAUAUUCUAACCCCAAUCAACACUAGAUAAGUCAUUUAGUUUUUCAACGCAAUGUUUCCGAGUUCUUAGCCCAUUUGGGACCCAAUUUCAACAAGUCUUUCUACACACUUCUAAAUACUCUUCAUGCAUCUCUAGCACCUAUAAUCAAUCAAAUUAAUUGUAUUCUAAUAUAUUCUAAACCUAAACAACACUAGAUAAGUUAUUUAGUGCUUCAACGCAAUGUUUCCGAGUUCUUAGCCCCUUUGGUACCCAGUUUCAACAAGUUUUUCUACACACUUCUAAACACUCUUCAUGCAUCUAUAGCACUUGUAAUCAAUCAAAGGUAUUUUAUUCUAACAUAUUCUAACCCCAAAUAACACUAGAUAAGUCAUUUUGUUUUUCAACGCAAUGUUUCCGAGUUCUUAGCCCAUUUGGGAUCCAAUUUCAACAAGUCUUUCUCCAUACUUCCAAACACUCUUCAUGCAUCUAUAGCACUUGUAAUCAAUCAAAUUGAUUGUAUUCUAACAUGUUCCAACCCCAAACAACAUUACAUAAGUCAUUUAGUGGUUCAACGCAAUGUUUCCGAGUUUUUAGCCCAUCUAGGAACCAAUUUCAACAAGUCUUUCUACACACUUCUAAACACUCUUCAUUCAUCUCUAGCACUUGUAAUCAAUCAAAUUUAUUGUAUUCUAACACAUUCUAAACCCAAACAACACUAUAUAAGUCAUUAAGUUGUUCAACGCAAUGUUUCCGAGUUCUUAGCCCAUAUGGGACCCAAUUUCAACAAGUCUUUCUCCAUACUUCCAAACACUCUUCAUGCAUCUCUAGCACUUGUAAUCAAUCAAAUUCAUUGUAUUCUAACAUAUUAUAAACCCAAACAACACUAGAUAAGUCAUUUAGUUGUUCAACGCAAUGUUUCCGAGUUCUUAGCCCCUUUGGGACCCAAUUUCAACAAGUUUUUCUACACACUUCUAAACACACUUCAUGCAUCUCUAGCACUUGUAAUCAAUCAAAUUUAUUGUAUUCUAACAUAUUCUAACCCCAAAUAACUCUAGAUAAGUCAUUUAGUUUUCAACGCAAUGUUUCCGAGUUCUUAACACCUUUGGGACCUAAUUUCAAUAAGUUUUUCUACACUCUUCUAAACACUCUUCAUGCAUCUCUAGCACUUGUAAUCAAUUAAAUUCAUUGUAUUCUAACAUAUUCUAAUCCCAAACAACACUAGAUAAGUCAUUUAGUUUAUCAACGCAAUGUCUUCGAGUUCUUAGCCCAUACGGGACCCCAUUUCAACAAGUCUUUCUCCAUACUUCCAAACACUCUUCAUGCAUUUAUAGCACUUGUAAUCAAUCAAAUUGAUUGUAUUAUAACAUGUUCUAACCCCAAAUAACACUAUAUAAGUCAUUUAGUUUUUCAGCGCAAUGUUUCCGAGUUCUUAGCCCAUUUGGGACCCAAUUUCAACGUCUUUCUACACACUUCUAAACACUCUUCAUGCAUCUCUAGCACUUGUAAUCAAUCAAAUUCACUGUAUUCUAACAUAUUCUAAACCCAAACAACACUAGAUAAGUCAUUUAGUUUUUCAACGCAAUGUUUCCGAGUUCUUAGCCCAUUUGAGACCCAAUUUCAACAAGUCUUUCUACACACUUCUAAACACUCUUCAAGCAUCUCUAGCACUUGUAAUCAAUUAAAUUCAUUGUAUUCUAACAUAUUCUAAUCCCAAACAACACUAGAUAAGUCAGUUAGUUUAUCAACGCAAUGUUUCCGAGUUCUUAGCCCAUAUGGGACCCAAUUUCAACAAGUCUUUCUCCAUACUACCAAACACUCUUCAUGCAUCUCUAGCACCUGUAAUCAAUCAAAUUAAUUGUAUUCUAACAUAUUCUAAACCUAAACAACAUUAGAUAAUUCAUUUAAUGGUUCAACGCAAUGUUUCCUAGUUCUUAGCCCAUUAGGGACCCAAUUUCAACAAGUUUUUCUACACACUUCUAAACACUCUUCAUGCAUCUCUAUCACUUGUAAUCAAUCAAAAUUAUUGUAUUCUAACGUAUUCUAAACCCAAAAACCACUAGAUAAGUCAUUUAGUUGUUCAACGCAAUGUUUUCGAGUUCUUAGCCCAUAUGGAACCCCAUUUAAACAAGUCUUUCUCCAUACUUCCAAACACUCUUCAUGCAUCUCUAGCUCUUGUAAUCAAUCAAAUUCAUUGUAUUCUAAAAUAUUCUAACCCCAAACGACAUUAGAUAAGUCAUUUAGUGGUUUAACGCAAUGUUUCCGAGUACUUAGCACCUUUGGGACCCAAUUUCAACAAGUUUUUCUACACACUUCUAAACACGCUUCAUGCAUCUCUAGCACUUGUAAUCAAUAAAAGUUAUUGUAUUCUAACAUAUUCUAACCCCAAAUAACACUAGGUAAGUCAUUUAGAUUUUCAACGCAAUGUUUCCGAGUUCUUAGCCCAUUUGGGACCCAAUUUCAACAAGUCUUUCAACACACUUCUAAACACUCUUCAUGCAUCUAUAGCACUUGUAAUCAAUCAAAUUGAUUGUAUUCUAGUAUAUUCUAAUCCCAAAUAACAUUAGAUAAGUAAUUUAGUUUUUCAACGCAAUGUUUCCGAGUUCUUAGCCCAUCUGGGACCCAAUUUCAACAAGUCUUUCUCCAUACUUCCAAACACUCUUCAUGCAUCUAUAGAACUUGUAAUCAAUCAAAGUUAUUGUAUUCUAACAUAUUCUAAUCCCAAAAAAUAAUAGAUAAGACAUUUAGUUUAUCAACGCAAUGUUUCCGAGUUCUUAGCCCAUAUGGGACCCAAUUUCAACAAGUCUUUCUCCAUACUUCCAAACACUCUUUAUNNNNNNNNNNNNNNNNNNNNNNNNNNNNNNNNNNNNNNNNNNNNNNNNNNNNNNNNNNNNNNNNNNNNNNNNNNNNNNNNNNNNNNNNNNNNNNNNNNNNNNNNNNNNNNAACCCAUUUAGGACGCAAUUUCAACAAGUCUUUCUCCAUAGUUCAAAACACUCUUCAUGUAUCUCUAACACUUGUAAUCAAUCAAAUUCAUUGUAUUCUAACAUAUUCUAACCCCAAAGAAAACUAGAUAAGUCAUUUAGUUGUUCAACGCAAUGUUUCCGAAUUCUUAGCCCAUUUGGGACCCAAUUUCAACAAGUUUUUCUACACACUUCUAAACACUCUUCAUGCAUCUCUAGCACUUGUAAUCAAUCAAAGUUAUUGUAUUCUAACAUAUUCAAAUAACACUAGACACUAGAUAAGUCAGUUAGUUGUUCAACGCAAUGUUUUCGAGUUCUUAGCCCAUAUGGGACCCCAUUUAAACAAGUCUUUCUCAAUACUUCCAAACACUCUUCAUGCAUCUCUAGCACUUGUAAUCAAUCAAAUUCAUUGUAUUUGAACAUAUUCUAAACCCAAAAAACACUAGAUAAAUCAUUUAGUGGUUCAACGCAAUGUUUCCGAGUUCUUAGCCCCUUUGGGACCCAAUUUCAACAAGUUUUUCUACACACUUCUAAACAUUCUUCAUGCAUCUCUAGCACUUGUAAUCAAUCAAAGUUAUUGUAUUCUAACAUAUUCUAACCCCAAAUAACACUAGAUAAGUCAUUUACAUUUUCAACGCAAUGUUUCCGAGUUCUUAGCCCAUUUGGGACCCAAUUUAAACAAGUCUUUCAACACACUUCUAAACACUCUUCAUGCAUCUAUAGCACUUGUAAUCAAUCAAAUUGAUUGUAUUAUAACAUAUUCUAAUCCUAAAUAACACUAGAUAAGUAAUUUAGUUUUUCAACGCAAUGUUUCCAAGUUCUUAGCCCAUUUGGGACCCAAUUUCAACAAGUCUUUCAACACNNNNNNNNNNNNNNNNNNNNNNNNNNNNNNNNNNNNNNNNNNNNNNNNNNNNNNNNNNNNNNNNNNNNNNNNNNNNNNNNNNNNNNNNNNNNNNNNNNNNUUUGUAUUCUAACAUAUUCUAAUCCCAAAUAACACUAGAUAAGUAAUUUAGUUUUUCAACGCAAUGUUUCCGAGUUCUUAGCCCAUUUGGGACCCAAUUUUAACAAGUCUCUCUACACACUUCUAAACACUCUUCCUGCAUCUCUAGCAAUUGUAAUCAAUCAAAUUCAUUGUAUUCUAGCAUAUUAUAACCCCAAAACAACAGUAGAUAAGUCAUUUAGUUGUUCAACGCAAUGUUUUCGAGUUCUUAGCCCAUAUGGGACCCCAUUUAAACAAGUCUUUCUCCAUACUUCCAAACACUCUUCAUGCAUCUCUAGCACUUGUAAUCAAUCAAAUACAUUGUAUUCUAACAUAUUCUAAACCCAAACAACACUAGAUAAGUCAUUUAGUGGUUCAACGCAAUGUUUCCGAGUUCUUAGCCCCUUUGGGACCCAAUUUCAACAAGUUUUUCUACACACUUCUAAACACUCUUCAUGCAUCUCUAGGACUUGUAAUCAAUCAAAGUUAUUGUAUUCUAACAUAUUCUAACCCCAAAUAACACUAGAUAAGUCAUUUAGAUUUUCAACGCAAUGUUUCCGAGUUCUUAGCCCAUUUGGGACCCAAUUUCAACAAGUCUUUCAACACACUUCUAAACACUCUUCAUGCAUCUAUAGCACUUGUAAUCAAUCAAAUUGAUUGUAUUAUAACAUAUUCUAAUCCCAAAUAACACUAGAUAAGUAAUUUAGUUUUUCAACGCAAUGUUUCCAAGUUCUUAGCCCAUUUGGGACCCAAUUUCAACAAGUCUUUCUACACACUUCUAAACACUCUUCAUGCAUCUGUAGCACUUGUAAUCAAUCAAAUUCAUUGUAUUCUAACAUAUUCUAACCCCAAUCAACACUAGAUAAGUCAUUUAGGUUUUUAACGCAAUGUUUCCGAGUUCUUAGCCCAUUUGGGACCCAAUUUCAACAAGUCUUUCUCCAUACUUCAAAACGCUCUUCAUGAAUCUAUAGCACUUGUAAUCAAUCAAAUUCAUUGUAUUCUAACAUAUUCUAACCCCAAACAACACUAGAUAAGUCAUUUAGUGGUUCAACGCAAUGUUUCCGAGUUCUUAGCCCAUUUGGGACCCAAUUUCAACAAGUUUUUCUACACACUUCUAAGCAGUCUUCUUGAAUCUCUUGCACUUGUAGUCAAUCAUAUUCAUUGUAUUCUAACAUAUUCUAACCCCAAAAAACACUAGAUAAGUCAUUUAGUGG
rnacentral:lncRNA from 1 species